UUGCCUACGGGUGGCUGCAGUGGGGAAUAUUGGACAAUGGGCGAAAGCCUGAUCCAGCAACGCCGCGUGAGGGAUGACGGCCUUCGGGUUGUAAACCUCUUUCAGUACCGACGAAGCGCCAAUAACGGUGGUGACGGUAGGUACAGAAGAAGGACCGGCCAACUACGUGCCAGCAGCCGCGGUAAUACGUAGGGUCCGAGCGUUGUCCGGACUUAUUGGGCGUAAAGGGCUCGUAGGCGGUCUGUUGCGUCGGGAGUGAAAACUUACAGCUUAACUGUGAGCGUGCUUUCGAUACGGGCAGACUUGAGGCAUUCAGGGGAGAACGGAAUUCCUGGUGUAGCGGUGAAAUGCGCAGAUAUCAGGAGGAACACCGGUGGCGAAGGCGGUUCUCUGGGAAUGUCCUGACGCUGAGGAGCGAAAGUGUGGGGAGCGAACAGGAUUAGAUACCCGGGUAGUC
rnacentral:rRNA from 1 species